UCUGGUCAUUGUUGGUGUUACUCCCUGUCAGUCGUGGCUUCAGUCGCCCAGUGUUUCAUCUUUCUAUUUUCUGCUCUUGGUGUUUUGGAUUACCUGUGUUGGAUUUUGGUUUCGUUUCUCAUUUGGCUUUUUAUGGACUCAGCCACUCAGUAUACAGAUUGUUGCUGCUGUUUGUCCACAAGAUGAUGAUUCUAAACUAUUGUCCUUUGUCAUAAAUGCAGGGGAGCUGAUUGCAGAAUCCAUCCAGAAGUGGAGCACCUGUGUCCCCCUCUACCCAAUGUAAAAGUCCCAGCUUCCAGCUUGUGCACCUUGCUGCUUUGCUUAACCUUUUGUUUCUACUUUUACUCCACAAUAUAUGAACACUACUGAUUAGGUUCCCAUCCAUAGGUUCUAUCAUUAUAAUUACUGUUACAACACAUUAUUUGUAGUCAUACAAAACAACUGUUAAUUUUGUAACCUUUUAAUAUUGAUGAUUUCAUGAAUGCAAAAUAUGGUUUUGUGUAUUGGAAUUCAGACUAAAUGUAUUUGGAAUAAAAUUAUAUUCUUCAAUGAUCAGUUUACAGUAAACAGCUUUAAAUGAAAA